AGUGAACGCUGGCGGUAGGCCUAACACAUGCAAGUCGAACGGCAGCACAGUAAGAGUUUGCUCUUACGGGUGGCGAGUGGCGGACGGGUGAGGCAUACAUCGGAAUCUACUUUUUCGUGGGGGAUAACGUAGGGAAACUUACGCUAAUACCGCAUACGACCUACGGGUGAAAGCAGGGGAUCUUCGGACCUUGCGCGAUUGAAUGAGCCGAUGUCGGAUUAGCUAGUUGGCGGGGUAAAGGCCCACCAAGGCGACGAUCCGUAGCUGGUCUGAGAGGGUGAUCAGCCACACUGGAACUGAGACACGGUCCAGACUCCUACGGGAGGCAGCAGUGGGGAAUAUUGGACAAUGGGCGCAAGCCUGAUCCAGCCAUACCGCGUGGGUGAAGAAGGCCUUCGGGUUGUAAAGCCCUUUUGUUGGGAAAGAAAAGCAGCGGGUUAAUACCCCGCUGUUCUGACGGUACCCAAAGAAUAAGCACCGGCUAACUUCGUG
rnacentral:rRNA from 1 species